rnacentral:rRNA from 1 species
CCAGACUCCUACGGGAGGCAGCAGUGGGGGAUAUUGCACAAUGGGGGAAACCCUGAUGCAGCGACGCCGCGUGGGCGAAGAAGUAUUUCGGUAUGUAAAGCCCUAUCAGCAGGGAAGAAGAAAUGACGGUACCUGAGUAAGAAGCACCGGCUAAAUACGUGCCAGCAGCCGCGGUAAUACGUAUGGUGCAAGCGUUAUCCGGAUUUACUGGGUGUAAAGGGAGUGCAGGCGGCACGGCAAGCCUGGUGUGAAAGCCCGCGGCCCAACCGCGGGACUGCAUUGGGAACUACCGGGCUGGAGUGCCGGAGAGGUAGGCGGAAUUCCUAGUGUAGCGGUGAAAUGCGUAGAUAUCAGGAGGAACACCGGUGGCGAAGGCGGCCUGCUGGACUGCAACUGACGUUGAGGCCCGAAAGCGUGGGGAGCAAACAGGAUUAGAUACCCCUGUAAGU